CACGUAGGGUGCGAGCGUUGUCCGGAAUUAUUGGGCGUAAAGAGCUCGUAGGCGGUGUGUCGCGUCGGCCGUGAAAACCUGCAGCUUAACUGUGGGCUUGCGGUCGAUACGGGCAUCACUGGAGUUCGGCAGGGGAGACUGGAAUUCCUGGUGUAGCGGUGAAAUGCGCAGAUAUCAGGAGGAACACCGAUGGCGAAGGCAGGUCUCUGGGCAUUAACUGACGCUGAGGAGCGAAAGCAUGGGGAGUGAACAGG
rnacentral:rRNA from 1 species